ensembl:lincRNA Gm15749 predicted gene 15749
CGAGAAGGAAGGUAGCUCUGCCAGCGUCUACCCUGGGACAAGCCUUCUGUUCACAUGAUCCCAUUUAAAACUCGCAAAGGCACAAAGCAUCUUGGGAACGGAGGAAAAAGGAAGAAGAGCUUUGCGUGGGGGUGUGGAAGGGCCUCCUAAAAGCCUUGCCAGGAGACGUGACAUUUAAGGAGGCACACCUUGAAGAAGAACAACAACAAAAAAUACCGUAUGCUCUGUGCCUGAUUAGAUGAGAAAACUAAACCGAGGAACAGAGAGGUUAAGUGACUGACUCAUCUAAGACCAGGCAUUACCACAUCUACCAAAUGGCAGCAGAGUCAGAACUCAAACCCAGAAAGGAGACUUCUGGCAAGUGUCCCCCACCUCUCAGGACCCCAAUUUGUGUGUGUGUGUUUAUUUUGGUUUUUUGUUUUGUUUUGUUUUUAAAUCCAUAGAUAGAGGGCUCCCAUGACAUACAGAGUUGCCGAGGGCUCAAAACUGAGAUAAUCCCCAUGAAAGGCUCAAGCCGUGCCUGGCACUUGGUUAAGUGUUCGAGGAUUGCAGAUGGCUCUUAUCGUGCCGCCCGGGCGGUGUUAUCUCCGCGCCUCCCCUCCCCCUGCGGCCGC